CCUGGUAAAUGUGUACCUGCAGCCUGGGCACAGUCCUGCCACCCACACUGCACAGACCUGGUAAAUGUGUACCUGCAGCCCAGGCACAGCCCUGCAAUCUGCACUGCACACACCCAGCAAAUGUGCGCCUGCAGCCCAGGCACAGUCCUGCCAUCUGCACUGCGAUGCCUACAGCAGUCUUUAUGGAGGCUUAUGAUGGCACAGUACCCAGCUCUGUGCUAGAUCCUGGGCUGUGGCAGGAGGGUACAUAGCUCCACACUGGACUUUUGCUGAAGGUGCCCAGUUUAAGAUACAGGCACUGAACCAAGUGACUGACACUUGGGGAGCUCAUUCUCUGAUGGCACAGGAACCCCUGAGACUCAGGAAUAUGAGUCAGGCCAGCAAGGACUGCUCUGUCGGUGCCCACAGGGCCCAGCAACACUGGGGUGGAGUCUGGAGUCAGCCUCUGAUCCAACAGUGAAAGCUCUCUGAGAUCACAAUCAUGAGAAGACAGGAUCCCAAGAGCUGUCGCGAAGACCCUGUCCCAGAUGUUGUGCUCUGCACCUCAUGGUUGGGUGGCUUCCAGCAGCUUCCUGAACCUGAGCCUGCUCUGCCAUCUGUACAAUGGGCACAACAUCAGCCUCACAUGGCUGAGAUGAGGCCAUGGGACACAAAGAUGGGGUCUUACCAUGUCAUCCAGGCUGGUCUCAAACUCGUGGGCUCAAGCGAUCCUCUUGCCUCUGCCUCUCAAGUAGCUGGGAUUACAGGUGUGAGCCAUUGCACCCGCCCAUUGCCUGUCAUUUGCAUGCAGAUGCUAUUCUAACAUGAAACCUUUUACUCAAAUAUUUAUCUACAAUGGAGUCUCUCCGGAGUCAAGCCAUGUCUCCACCGUGGUGAGGCCAUCAAUUCAUUUAAAGUGGUUUCCCAGAGCAAAAGCUGCACCUAUGUGCAAGUGAUGCCCACACUGAGUGUGUAUGGACAGACUUCAGGUGUCUUCUAUCAGGUGGGUUCCUGCUCCAGGCCCACCUUGUCCAUGAGGCUAACAGGGGUGACCUUAGCAUGUGCCCACCCCUCUGUACACCUAGAAUCCAAGGGGUGGGAUGGACAGGUGUAGGAGCAGGAAACAAGUGUGUGGUCCAGCUGGAGGAGACGGUCUUGGGGUCAGAACA
rnacentral:lncRNA from 1 species